UAAAUGUUCUAAAAACCCUAAAUCCGCAUCACUUCCACUGCCGCUUCUCUUCUCUCUUUGUGACCAUUCUUCAGCCAUUUCUUCUCAUCUCUGAUCGCAUCAACAAUCAUUAAGCAUGAGCAUAUUGGUGUUAAUCAUUUAUUCUUGGUUCCAGUUUUCGAUUCUUAGUAUAAAUAAUUUCUUAUCAUUUGCAUUUUCCCUUUUUCUCCAAACCCUAACCAAAGAGAAAUCAAUCGAAACAAAGAUCUCUAAAGCAAUCGUGUGGUAACUCAAUUGGCGGUGGUGGUAGUGGUGGUGCAAUGUUUUCGAUUCAACCAACCAUCAAUCUCUCUUAUCAUCAUUGACUCAAUUUCUAGGGUUUCAACAUGAGCAGAUCCGGUCAACCUCCAGAUCUUAAAAAGUAUAUGGACAAACAAUUGUAGAGUAAGUUUUCGCUUUUGUAAUUGACAUGUGAAAUAAUGUUGCUACACUCUUUUAUAUCGUAGAUGAUUUAGAAGAUUGAGUACUUUGCUUCAAAUAUGAUUAUAGGUCGCACUUGCAUAUGUUUAAAUCAAGUUUGUUGGUUGGUUUUUUUAGGACACAGCAAAUUAUACUUUGUAUGAUGGAUCUAAAUGACUAAGAUUUUAAUAGGAUACUGAAGUCAAGAUUGGUCAAAGCCAGGAAUUGUCACGGUUAAUGGAUGAUAACAUGACCGAUUUGACAAUGGGGGGACUUUUUACGUUAGAGGGAAACAGUGAUACUGAAGUCAAGAUUGGUCAAAGUCAUGAUUGGUACAUGUUUGCAUAAGCAUUUACUUCAUUUAUGCGACUCUAAUCUUCAAUGGGAACCAUUGCAGGUGUUUUGUCUGUUAGUGCUAGAGAAGUUGUCAAUAGGCAGCUUUAAGUUAGUGAAGGGUGUAUAGAAACUAAAAAAGAAGUUGAUCCCUUGACAAAGAUAAAGCUGCAGCUUUUUCCAAUUGAUGAAGUUACUAGACUUGGAUUAGAGAAGGAUGGUCUUAAUCCAUUCCUCGAACUCACACUCAAAGCUAGGAAGAAGAUAUCUUCUGUCAUCAAACACAUCCAUACAAAAUGGGGUGGGUCCCACAUAGCUGUAGGAGAGCCAAUGCUUUUGCCUUAUGAUACGCACCUUAGACAAUCACCUAUGAGCAGAAGAUGGACGUCAAAAGACUCCAGUAUUAGUGCAGGAGAUGUUUAUAUGGCUGUACAAAGUCCUGCUAUAUUUCGCUUAAGAUGAAUACUGAAAUCUGAUUGGACAGAGGUAUCUAUGCUGCUUCUUGAUGUGGACUUUUGAUUGUUAAUGGAGGUUGAUGAUGAGGAUUCUGAAGACCAUUCACUUAUGGAACUUGCAGGUGAUAUGCUUGAAGAAAGGUUUAAAUUAACAGGUCAUGGAGUAGGGCUGCAAAAGAGAAACAAUACUGUGACAGCCACCUGGCACCUUUCUAUAGAAUCGAGCUUGUGACGAGGUAUCUACAUACAUGAGUGUUUCACCUUCUGAAAAUUUUUGAUUUAUUGUUUGGAAAUGUUUUGGUGUUUUAAAACUUUGUUAAUAACAACACUUGACAUUUUAUUUCGUUUGUAGUAGCUAGGAUGAUCACUAUAUAAGUGGUGGUUCAAGUAUACAUCUGUCAUGUUUGUUGGCCGCAGAUUAAUUUGUGGUAACUUCAUGACUCAUGCUUUUACAACCAGGUAUUUUUUAGUCCA